GUGAGGAAUUUUGCGUAAUGGGGGCAACCCUGACGCAGCGACGCCGCGUGGAGGACGAAGUCUUUCGGGAUGUAAACUCCUGUCAGUGGGGACGAUAAUGACGGUACCCACAGAGGAAGCACCGGCUAACUCCGUGCCAGCAGCCGCGGUAAGACGGAGGGUGCAAGCGUUGUUCGGAAUUACUGGGCGUAAAGCGUAUGUAGGCGGCAAGUUAAGUUCAAUGUUAAAGCCCACGGCUCAACCGAGGAGAUGCAUUGAAUACUGGCUAGCUAGAGGGUGUUAGAGGAAGACGGAAUUCCCAGUGUAGCGGUGAAAUGCGUAGAUAUUGGGAGGAACAUCGGUAGCGAAAGCGGUCUUCUGGGACAUACCUGACGCUGAGGUACGAAAGCGUGGGGAGCAAACGGGAUUAGAUACCCCGGUAGUCC
rnacentral:rRNA from 1 species